rnacentral:rRNA from 1 species
UACGUAGGGUGCAAGCGUUUGUCCGGAAUUAUUGGGCGUAAAGAGCUCGUAGGCGGUUUGUCGCGUCUGCUGUGAAAACCCGAGGCUCAACCUCGGGCCUGCAGUGGGUACGGGCAGACUAGAGUGCGGUAGGGGGAGAUUGGAAUUCCUGGUGUAGCGGUGGAAUGCGCAGAUAUCAGGAGGAACACCAAUGGCGAAGGCAGAUCUCUGGGCAUUAACUGACGCUGAGGAGCGAAAGCAUGGGGAGCGAACAGG